CAUUCCGUUUUCCUGUUGUGCUGGUGCCGAAGGGCAGCGGGACUACCACGCGGGCACACGUGUUGUGGCUUCGCUGUUCUUGUCACUUGGGCUGCUGAAGUGGACCCCGGCGUGGCAGGGGCCGCAAAAUGCACAGUAUCACAGUUGUAUGCAUCAACGUGGUGCUGGCGCUGCUGCUGCUGCUGUGGAUGAAGAUAGCAAAUCUUGCCGGAACGUCAGUUCGCAGUGACGUUCUGUUCGUGUUUGCGCACCCGGAUGACGAGGCAAUGUUUUUCACGCCACUCCUGCAUUCGCUGCGGGCGCAGCGGGUCACGGUGCAUUUUCUGUGCCUGUCCAACGGCAACUACGCCGGGAUGGGAAAGGAGCGUGAGAAGGAGCUGUACGCCAGUGGCGCUUUCUUUGGUGUGCAGCGGCGUAACAUCCGAGUCGUCGACCACGCUGACUUGCAAGACGGCAUGUGUAAUAUCUGGAGCCCUUUGCUUAUUCGCAGAGAGAUCGAGUCAUACAUGCAGAAAGCCGGCAGCAUCAGCACCAUUGUUACAUUUGACAAGUACGGUGUCUCUGGCCAUCCUAACCACAUUGCCGUACACAAUGGCGUGCGGGAGCUCAAGGAGAACAUGCCUCCAGGGCUCCUCCACCUGCAGCUCAGAACACGGAGUCUGCUGUGGAAGUACGUUGGACUGCUGGCGGUUCUCCCUUAUGUCCUGUGGUCAUCCACAUGCGUUAGCCGCACCAGCUUUGUCGCCGUCAUUCCACCCGCAUCAGUCUGGGAGAGCAUGGCCGCGAUGCGCAAGCACGCCGGUCAGCUUGUCUGGUUUCGGUAUUUGUUUGUCAUUUUCUCUUCGUACACGUACGUGAAUGAGAUCGAAGAGCUCUAGCUGGAGGGAAGGGGGGCAGAGGAGGCGGAGUGCAAGGCGUGGCAAGACUGCGUAGAGCAGAGGGUAAGAUGAAUGAGCCACUGUCGGCUGAUGCUCACGUGCACGAGAACUUUAUGCUCUUUUCGGUUUGGAGCUUUUGCAUUAUUGUGAAAAACACCGCUUGUCUUUGUGUUUAUCGACAGGUGAGAAAUUUUUCCUUGAUGGACUGCCUUGGUGCCUCAGAG
rnacentral:misc_RNA from 1 species